CAGCAGCCGCGGGAAUACGUAGGUCCCGAGCGUUGUCCGGAUUUAUUGGGCGUAAAGCGAGCGCAGGCGGUUAGAUAAGUCUGAAGUUAAAGGCUGUGGCUUAACCAUAGUACGCUUUGGAAACUGUUUAACUUGAGUGCAAGAGGGGAGAGUGGAAUUCCAUGUGUAGCGGUGAAAUGCGUAGAUAUAUGGAGGAACACCGGUGGCGAAAGCGGCUCUCUGGCUUGUAACUGACGCUGAGGCUCGAAAGCGUGGGGAGCAAACAGGAUUAGAUACCCCGGUAGUCCCUGUCUCUUAUACA
rnacentral:rRNA from 1 species